rnacentral:lncRNA from 1 species
UGUGGGUAUCCUGUAGCCGUGAUGCCAUCAGCGAAAGGGAUGAUCCCAGAACACCAUCCUCAUUUCAUUGGAACAUAUUGGGGUGCUGUAAGCACUGCUUUUUGUGCAGAAAUUGUCGAAUCUUCUGAUGCUUACUUAUUUGCUGGACCUAUAUUCAACGACUACAGCUCUGUAGGCUAUUCUCUUCUCCUCAAAAAAGACAAAGCCAUAAUCUUACAGCCUGAUCGUGUAAUAAUUGGAAAUGGCCCAACUUUCGGGUGCGUGUUGAUGAAAGAUUUCUUGUUAGGUUUGUCAAAGAGACUUAGGAAGAACACAACUGCAUAUGAGAACUAUCAUAGAAUUUAUGUUCCAGAAGGUCACCCUCUUAAAUCUGCUCCGAAAGAGGCAUUGAGGGUUAACGUUCUGUUUCAACACAUACAGAAUAUGUUGUCAGGUGAUACAGCUGUCAUUGCUGAAACCGGUGAUUCGUGGUUCAAUUGUCAGAAGCUAAAGCUUCCAAAAGGAUGCGGGUAAGUUUCAAUUAUCUAUUAUCUGCUAUUUGCUAUCUGUUAUCUGGUUUUAAAGGUGAAAUGAUGAUUUGAUUUUGUAGGUAUGAGUUCCAAAUGCAAUACGGGUCAAUUGGGUGGUCGGUGGGAGCAACACUUGGGUACGCACAAGCGGCAACUGACAAACGAGUGAUUGCGUGUAUUGGAGACGGAAGCUUCCAAGUCACGGCUCAAGAUAUUUCAACAAUGAUUCGAUGUGGCCAAAACACCAUCAUUUUCCUAAUAAACAAUGGCGGAUACACCAUUGAAGUCGAGAUCCAUGACGGGCCCUACAAUGUCAUCAAAAAUUGGAAUUACACUGGUUUAGUUGACGCGAUCCAUAAUGGUGAGGGCAAGUGUUGGACUAGUAAGGUAAGUUGUUGGGCUUGGGUUGUUACAGAUACUACAGAUGGUAUCAGAGCAGUAGUUUAAUUGAAACUUGUUUUUGUAGGUGUUGUGUGAAGAAGAGCUUGUUGUGGCUAUUGAGAAGGCGACCGGGGAGAAAAAGGAUUGCUUGUGUUUUAUUGAAGUGGUUGUGCACAAAGAUGAUACCAGCAAAGAGUUGCUCGAGUGGGGUUCCAGAGUCUCAGCUGCUAACAGCCGACCUCCGAACCCUCAGUAAAAAAAACCAAAACCAGAUGAGGAUUUGCUAGGGUUUUAUGAUGUAUAAAGUAUUGAAUCUAUAAACUUUUGUUGUUAUUUUGAUUGAGAAAGAAUAACGAUUUUUAGUUGUGUGAUUUGGCGUAAUUCGUGUUAAAAUGGAGUUUUCAAAAUCAUGGUUGUGUUUUUGAGACGUGGAAUGUGUCCAAAUCGAUUCUUUUGGUUGAAAAUUGAGUUUGAAACGAGAAAGGCCCAACCGUUUCUUGAAUUGGUGAUUGUGAAUUUUAUGAUUUGUCUUUUGAACUUUUUGAAAAGAAAGAGAAAGCAAGUAACACUUUAUUCUCGUAAAUGUUUUUUUUAUUAUUAUUAUUGGUAAGGGAUAAUAAAGAUUCAUAUACAUAAAGGUAAACACUAAUUGCUUUCUUAAAACCUUAGAUAAUUUUUUUAUUUUUUUUUCAAAUCCCUUUGUUUUGUUAUUACUAAAUUUCCUAAUAAUGAAAUAUGCUUUUGUGGAACAAGAUUACAUAUUAAUAAUAAUAUAAUUAUUGGAAAAUUGAUUAUUAGUAUGUACUAUUAAUUCUCAAAAUGUUAGAUUUUCUCUCUUUCUUAUUUUCGCACGGAAGUACUUGCAUUUCUUAUUUUGCCACUGAAACUUCUACUUCUUCUUUUCUCGCACAAACCGUCAUAGAAUUUCUCAUCGUUAUCUUCUCUUCCUCAAACCUGGUUGCCGCCAUUGUCCUCCAAUUCGGUUCGUUUCUGUUUUCUUUAUUUUUUUCCCUUUCUUCUUUACUCUUCCUUCCUCUUCGCUUCUUUGCGUUUCUAUUUUGCCUUCGUGUCUCUCUUCCUCUGCUCUUCGCCGUCUCUGAAAGCGCCCCAAUACUUCUCUUUUUUCCCUUUCCCUCUUAUCCCUUUUGGUCGCCGCCUUGCCGCCCUCCUCCUCCAAUACAAUUUCGUUCGCUUUUCCUUAUUUCCUCCUUCUUCCUUCUUUACUUUCCGUUGCUGCCUUCACGACACAAGUCACCCCCAAAGAAACCACCAAGAUUACUUUAUCAAUAUCUAUACAAUAUUUGAAUAGAAUUAGAACUUAUUGCAAUUUAAUUAAAUUGUUUCAAUAACUUCCUAAGGUCAUAUUUCCAUAAGCCGAAGCAUAUGGACAAAAAAAUGACAGCACAUUUUUCAUAUAUUACCACAUUCUAGCAAGCACCCUGAACUGAAAAAAAAAAGUUACAAAUGACUUAAAACCAAUGAAAAAAAAAACAAAAUUUAAAGGACUUAAAAGCCAAUCAUUCUUACCUAUAAUAGAUUUGGAAUCUCUAUUCCAUUUUUUAAUCACAAAAAGAAAUUAACAAAAUACUAUAGACAAAAAAGGAACAUCCUCAAACACCAUCAAAUUUCUUAAUCUCCAUAGUAUCCAACAAGUGAUCAAGACGAUCACUUCAAGACAUUUCAUUUUUUCAUUUGUCAAAUAAUAAUCAUCUACCAUUGAUAACCAUUCUCUCAUGGAAAUAGAGAACGAAAACACCACACCACUCCAUCGAGCAACCAAACUCCAAAUUGUUUUAGCCACCUCAUAACGAAAAAACAAAUGAGUGGAAGACUCCACACCCCUUGAUAAAUAGGGAAAUAAGUGGAUUGCAAGUCUAAACCUUUUUUAGAGAGGCUAAACCUAAUAGGAGGCUUGUCUAAGGCCAAACGAUAAAUGAAAAUGUUUACUUUUUUUGGAACCACCUUACACCACCUUGUAGCAUAAUCACCACCCACCAACAAAACCUCAUCAAUAUGUUUCUUUGUAAUAUUAACCGAGAAGCAUCCAACAGAAUCAAAACUCCACCAUAACGAUCCAGAGUCGUAGAAACCACGACAUCUCCCAAGACUAAAAGUAAAUCACGUAACUGUUCGACUUGAAUGCCCCCUCUAACCUCCCGCCUCCAAUUCCAAACCCAACUCCCAUCACGCCAACAGUCAUAAACCCGAAAAUCCAAAGUCGAUCAAAUCCACUCGAAUCAUCGUGAAUGGGUUUAAGAAAUCGCACCCAUGAAACAUCAAUUUCAUCUAGGAAGCGAUAUCGCCAUUUUUGUAAUAACACAUGAUUAAAAGUCGAUAAACUACCAAUCCCAAGACCACCAUUCUCAAAGCUAGCAAUAACUUGUUCCCAUUUAAUCCAUUCCAUUUUUCUAUCAACGCUAUAUCAACCCCCAACAAAUUGCUUCUCAACGACUCCAACUCCUUAAUUACUCAUUUUGAUGCUUCAAAAUUCGACAUGUGAUAUAUAUANNNNNNNNNNNNNNNNNNNNNNNNNNNNNNNNNNNNNNNNNNNNNNNNNNNNNNNNNNNNNNNNNNNNNNNNNNNNNNNNNNNNNNNNNNNNNNNNNNNNNNNNNNNNNNNNNNNNNNNNNNNNNNNNNNNNNAUAUACUAUCUAAAACCGAUUUGGUUAAGGUAAAUCUACCACAGACCAAUAAACAUUUGGAUUUCCAUGUUGACAAUCGCGACUUUAAUUUAUCACUAAUCGGUAAGCCAAUGUAAGUUAAUGGGAACCUUCCCGGUUUACACUCCACCAAGUUUGCAACGUUGGUAACCUCUUGAUCAUCCACACCAAUACUAAAAAGACUCAGUUUAUGCAUAUUCAACUUCAAGGCCGAAGCCAAAUAAAGCGUUUCCAAAACAUUAAUAAUAUUAUCAAUCACAUCUUGACUUCACUUUGAAACAAACACACCAUCACCCGUAUGUAAUAAAUGUGAUACCCAGAAUGCUUGCCUCUUGAGCCGAACUCCUUUAAUCAACCUUGCGUACAUACAGGGCCGGAUUUGAGGGGCGCAAAGUGGGCAGCCGCUCAGGGCCCCAAAAAAAUAGUGCCCGAGAUUUAGUAGUAUUGUUUAUUUAAUAUUUAUAUAAAUAAUAGAUCGUUCAAACAAAGACAUAGUUUCUUUAUGGUUCAAGUGUUAAGCGUGCUUCUAAUUUUUUAAGAUAAUACAAACUACCCGAGCUCGAAUCCCUUCAGGUGGUGCCUUUUUAAUUGUGUUAAACUUUCUUUGUGUGCCUCCACUAAAUUCUCCUGCCUUUUUUAUUUUUAUUUUUUUUGAAUUUACUAAGAACAAAAUUCUUCAAGUAAUAUUUUAUUUUUCUCUGUGUGCCUCCACUAAAUUCUCAUGCCUUUUUAUCUCUCUCUCUUUCUCUCUCUUUUUUCUUUUCGCAUCCACUAAGAACAAAAUUGCAAGAUCCUUCAAGUAAUACUUUAUUAAAGUAUUAAGUAAUUUUUUAAAAGAUUAAUUACGAGUUUUAGAACACUAUGCACCCAUUUGUUUCACUGAUUUAUAAUGACUUCCAAAAAGAAAAAUGAUAGUAACGGCUUUUAGUUAUCAAUACAGAAUCAUUGAACGGUUAAUGGAGAAUAGUAGAUUUUUGUCACAUUUUACUAAUGACCAAACUAACCUUUAAAAUCUUCGUUUAAUUAAAAAAAAAACAUUUUUAAUGAAAAUAUAGUAUAAAAUAUCCGGUCCAGAACAACUAGUCGGUACUUAUUAAAAUACCAUGAUUUUGCUGUUUUUAUUGUUAUAAAGUUUAUCUUUGUUUUAAAAAAACAGUUUAUAUAAUUUAAUUCGUUCCACGUUAAGACCAAAGGGUCUUUUUUCUCAGCUUGUCCAGGGUAUUUCAAUUUUCAUGACUGACCCUGCCUCCAUAGCAUCUUCCAAAUCAAUAUGCAUCUUCCAGAUCAAUAUGCAUCCCUUUCACAGCUAAAAUAAAUAAGAAAGGUGAUAAUGGAUCUCCCUGACACAUACCACAAAAUAUUGAGAAUUCUACCGUAGGAAUACCAUUGGCCAACAUCGAAGCUCCAACUGAAUAAAGACAAGCAUUAAUCCAUCCACACAAUCUAAGACCAAAACCACAAGCCCCGAUAACAUGAUCGAGAUAUUCCUAGGUUAAUGAAUCAUAUGCCUUUUCAAAGUCUAUUUUGAAAAUCAUAAGCUUUUUCCUUUUCUUUUUACACCAUGCUACGAUCUCACUCAACAUCAACGUCCCAUCUAAAAAUUGUUGACAUUUAUAGGCCAUCUAUUCCUUACUAACCAACACACCAACCACUUUAGUUAUACGAAUUUGAUAAUACUUUUACAAUAAUCAUAUAUUGCACAACUAUCAAUGAUAUUGUUUCUAAGUCUAACACAGAUAACGAAUUUUAAACCUUAAGAAUUAAGGUUAUAAAUGAGGGGUUACAACCGCUAGGAAUUACACCGAUACUAAAAAUGUAACGUCUAAAAAAUUAGAGUAAAAUUUUUCGUUUUCAAAAGAAAAAUCCAUAUGCCCCAAAGUUACCAAAACAUUUUUUACAAAUCAUAAUAAGUCAAAACAUCGAAUCAAAGUAUCAGUCGACAUAAACUACCGGAUGUUGUGUAUAAUCACACAUUCGCCUUUCCCUGCUCAUCAAAAGUACAUGAAACAUUGAAAUCCAAACUGUAAGCCAAAGCUUAGUGAGCUUUCCAAAAUACCUCACGUCAUAAACAAAUACAUAUACAAUACAAGCAUGCAUACAAGGUUUGUUGGUCCUUGACCUCAACCCAACCACACUGGGUUUAUUGGUUUAUAUCACGGAGUAGUAACAUCUCAACCUAAUCAUCCAGGGUUUGUUUGCACGUGGCCUCAACCUAACAAUCGAGGUUUGUUGCCACAUGGCCUUAACCUUACCACAUCGGGUUUGUUGGCCCAUGGCCUCAACCCAACCACACAUAUGUUGACAUAUAUAUAAACAAUUAACACAUAGAACAAUCACAACAAUCCUACACCUCAAGAUACAUAACUCAAUAAAUGGGUCGGCUUUGGUGCCUUCGAACCAUUGGCAUAGUGAGAGAAAUCACCUUUCAAACCGAACACAAAACUGAAAUAAGUCUCGAACCCGAAUACCGGCUCUACCCAUCACCAAUUAUGCAAUUCAUAAUACAACCUUAACUAACACUAAAUUAUCCAAAAUACCCUUAGGUCAACAUUGGUCAAACUCAAUAAAUCAGCCGAGUCAACCCAGUCGAGUCAAUCCAACCGAGUUGCCUCACUCUGGUACGCGGGGCAUACUUCAAACUUACGCGGAGCAUUCUCGAAUGCGACCAAAACAGUCAGGGGCCUAACCACAUACGCGUGGCGUACCGCAUGGUACACCCAACAUACAUAGCUGAAUGUUCUUAACUCAUUAGAGGCUUAAUGUAUAAGCCUUUUUCGACCAAACUAUAGAUCCAAGUCUCAAAUGUUGUCCUUGACCAUAAAUUUUCCAACUUUAUGGUCUUGCAUGGCCCUAGUGUGCUUAAUCACUAAAACCCUAACAUCUUAAUCCAUUAAGACAAUCAUACCCAUGCAUGGGUAUUGAAANNNNNNNNNNNNNNNNNNNNNNNNNNNNGCCAUAACGUCUUCGUUCUAACUUUGAUUUCGACGUUCUUUAUAUCCGUGAAAAGGUAUUGAAAAGCCCCUCAAUGAUAUCUAGAUAUCUUGGACUAAGAACUCCUCGAACAAAAAUCCAUUUUUUAUGCAAGAAACCGACCUAUGACUUUUCCCACUCUACCCUUCGACCCAAUGCACAAUCUAAAGGAUUUAGGUCUCAUAACCUUCAUUGCCUUCUUCACAAAGGUCUAAACAUGGCCUCCUUAAGGCCCAAGCCCUUAGACAAUCGACUUCCGGCCCACGACCUUGAAUCAGAGAAUGACCCAGAACAGGGUGUUACAACUUCCCCCCACUUAAAUUAGAUUUCAUCCUCGAAAUCAUUUCUUACUACCUCUUUUGCCGAACCGAACAAUCCUGAUUGCACUCCCUCAAUCCCAAAGAUGAUCGAGAAAAAUCAUCUCACUCCAAUAACCAUCCACCCUUACUAUUGUCAAACCCAAAAUAGCGGAAAUCACUAGCCCUAACAACGAAUGAACCUCAACUUUGCUCUAUGCCCACGAGUGACCAACCGCUACGCCUAAAACUGAAAACCCUGAUUAAUGUCUGACUCCCAGGAAGGCAAAACCACUUCAAACCAUUUCACAAUGACUCAACUUCAUAUCCCGAACCACACAAACCUAUCCGUCCUGAACAAAUUUACGGAUACCCUGAUCAAUGUCUAACUCCCAGCGUACUAGGUUCAACUCUAAUAUCACCUCUUGCCUAAUACACCCAACGUACACCAUGUAUACCCAACGUACUAGGCUCAACCUAAAAACCCUCCAAUUUCGAAUGACCAUAACUUCUUUGUUCUAACUACGAUUUUGACGUUUUUUUAUAUCCACGAAAAGUUAUUGAAAACCCUGACUCCCAGGAAGGCAAAACCACUUCAAACCAUUUCACAAUGACUCAACUUCAUAUCCCGAACUGCACAAACCUAUCCGUCCUGAACAAACUUACGGAUACCCUGAUUAAUGUCUAACUCCCAGCGUACUAGGUUCAACUCCGAUAUCACCUCUUGCCUAGUACACCAAACGUACACCAUGUACGCCCAACGUACUAGGAUCAACCUAAAAACCCUCCAAUUUCGAAUGACCAUAACUUCUUUGUUCUAACUCCGAUUUUGACGUUUUUUAUAUCCACGAAAAGUUAUUGAAUAAUAUCUAAAUAUCUUGGACUAAGAACUCCUCGAACAAAAAUCCAUUUUGCAUGCAAGAAACCGACCUCUGAUUUUUCCCACUCUACCAUUCGGCCCAAUGCACAAUCUAAAGGAUUUAGGUCUCAUAACCUUCAUUGCUUUCUUCCAAAAGGUCUAAACCUUGCCUCCUUAAGGCCCAAGCCUUUACACAAUCGACUUCUGACCUACGACCCUGAAUCACAGAAUAACCCGGAACAGGGUGUUACAAAAAGACUAGUCAUAAAUGCAAGCCACAUGGAUUAUUUUAUACUCAAUGCAAGUCAAAAGUUUCCCCAUUUAAUAAUGGGAUAUCUCCAGAAAACUCCCGAUAUUUUGGGCAAAUUUUUAAUAAAGUCCUAAAUUUUAUUUUUUGAAUAAAAAAGUCAUGAAUUUUUCACCUUUUGAAUAGAAAAACCCAAGAAACCGGCUAAUUUAUUCACUUUAGUCUUUUUUGACCUGUUCAACAAGUCAUGGGACAAAAUUGUUAAUUUUUCGAAAAUAAAGGGACUUUUUUGCAAAUUUCGUCAAAAAUUUUAUAUAAUGUAUAAACAUAUUUUUACAUAUCUAUAUCUAUUUUUACGUAUUUUUGUAUUUUUUAUAUCUUUAAAAGUAUAUAUUCAUGUAUUUUUAUGUAUUUUAAAUGUAUAAACGUAUUUUUUUUACUUAUUUAUAUGUAUUUUUAACCUUUUUACAUAUUUUUUUUUAUGUAUUUUUAUGUUUUAUUCUUUAUAUAUUAUGUAUUUAUAUGUAUUUUGAUAUAUUUUUAUGUAUUUAUGUAUUUUUAAAGUUUUUAUAUAGAUGUUUAUGUGUUUUAAGUGUAUAAACGUAUUUUUUACGUAUUUAUAUCUAUUUUUAAGUAUUUUACAUAUCUUUUAUGUAUUAUGUAUUUAUAUAUUUUUUUAAAGUUUUUUAUAUAGAUGUUUUUGUAUAUUUAUGUAUUUUAAAUGUAUAAACGUAUUGUUUUAAGUAUUUAUAUGUAUUUUUUAAGUACAUUACAUAUAUUUUUUUUUUUGUGUUUUUAUGUGUUUUUUUUAUGUAUUAUGUAUUUAUAUAUAUUUUUGGGUAUUUAUGUAUUUUUUAGUUUUCUUAUAUAGAUGUUUAUGUAUUUUUAUGUACAUUAAAUGUUAAAGUGUAUUAUUUUUACGUAAAAAAUAUAUAAACACGUAAAAAUAAUACAAUUAAAUAUUUAAUAUACAUAAAAAUACAUAAAAAUCUAUAUAAGAAAACUAAAAGAAUACAUAAAUACGCAAAAAUACAUAUAAAUACAUAAUACAUAAAAAAACACAAAAAAUAAGUAAAAUAUUAAAAAAAAUACAUAUAAAUACGUAAAACAAUACGUCUAUACAUUUAAAAUACAUAAAUAUACAAAAACAUCUAUAUAAAACACUUAAAUGAAUACAUAAAUACUUAAUACAUAAAAAAUAUGUAAAAUACUAAAAAAAUAGAUGUAAAUACGUAAAAAAAUAUGCUUAUACAUUUAAAAUACAUAAACAUCUAUAUAAAAAGCUUAAAAAAAUACAUAAAUACGUAAAAAUACAUAAUACAUAUAAAUACAUAAUACAUAUAAAUACAUAAUACAUAAAAAAUUACACAUAAAAAUACAUAAAAAAAAUAUGUAAAAUUGUUUAAAAUACAUAUAAAUAAGUAAAAAAAAAAUACGUUUAUACAUUUAAAAUACAUAAAAAUACUUAAAUAUAUACAUAUAAAAACUUAAUAAAUACACAAAUACGUAAAAUUUGAUAUAGAUAUGUAAAAAAAAUAUGUUUGUACAUUAUAUAAAAUUUUUGACGAAAUCUGCAAAAAAGUCACGUUAUUUUCGAAAAAUUAACAAUUUGGUCCCAUGACCUGCUGAACAGGUCAAAAAAGGCUAAAGUGAAUAAAUUAGCAGGUUUUUUGGGCUUUUCUAUUCAAAAGGUGAAAAAGUCAGGACUUUUUUAUUCAAAAAAUAAACUUUAGGACUUUAUUAAAAUUUGCCCAAAAUAUUGGGACUUUUCUAGAAAUAUCCCUUUAAUAAUCUAAAGUAUUCUUUACACUUUAGAGACAUAAGGGACAAAAGAGGAAGGUUGGCAAACAUCUUCAUGCUUGAAUAAAAUAUUUGAUCAUGUCCUUUUAAAAGGAAGACAAAAAGUUAGACUAAUUUUUUUAACCAAAAACUUAACUAACUAGUAAGUCCAUAAUUUACCAAAAUGUCCAAAACUUUAUUAAAUCAUGCUAUAUGAUAUAAUAACAUAGGGAAUAUGACUUAUUAAGGUAAUUAACUUUUCGGUAUGUUCACAUCUGGGUAACUAUCUUUUUUUUGUACACAUAUAGGUAACAAACUUGUUGGAAGUGUUCACAUAUGACCACUCUGAUGUAAUAGCCCGGAAUUCCAGGUAUUGUUAUAUUUAUGAUUUUGGGUGUUUUAAGAGGGGACUCGGCGAGUUGGAGCCUAGACUCGCCGAGUAGGAUCGCGGAUCUGGUCGCGGGUUCGCGACUGGACUCGACGAGUCUGGAUAUGGACUCGGCGAGUCUGCGCUGUUUAGCGAAAACCCUAACCGUUCAGGUUUGGGACGUAUAUGAGGGACCUUAUGGCCGUCAUUGUUCACCCUAGCCCUCUGAGAGAAACCCUAAUUCGAUUGUGAGUAUCUGGAGCAAGGUAGAAGACCAUUGUUGAUUUUGGAAGUAUUGUCUUGCAAGGAAGAGGAGGCUUGGUUAAGGGAACAACAAGAGAAGCCACGUUCUGAGGAUUGGGGACACAGAGAGCACGUUAUUCAGGUAAUAUUUCGAGUUGCAUUCUUCUAUGUUGAUGUGUAUAUGGAUUUAGGGUUUAUUGAACCCUUUUGUGGCUAGAUUGAGUGUUACCUUAGUCCCCCAAGCGAUUGGAACCCUGUAUUGGGACCUUUGGAAGUCCAGAAUGUCCCAUGCCUGAGCAUUUCGGGAAUCAAUGGAGGUUUUGGAUUGGAAUCCUUAUGCCUUAGGUCAAAAUGUAAAUUAUGAGUCAUGGGGUGUAUUAUGAGCACCGAAAUGAGGACCUUACGUGAUGAAUCAGUCUAGGAAGGCCAGACCUAUGAAUGGUCGGAGCAGUUCUGACCUUAGAAAGCAGUUUGAGCGGUUGCAUGGCAUGGACUCGCCGAGUCCGAUGAACAGACUCGGCGAGUAGCUUGAAGAUUAACUGGGACUCGUCGAGUUGUUCUUCAGACUCGGCGAGUUGAGUCGGGGUGGCCCCGCGAUUCUUCCAGGAGGAACUCGUCGAGUCAAGGAGGAUACUCGACGAGUAGAAAGGGAAUCUUAGAGAAUUGGUGAGGACGUCUAGACUCGCCGAGUCGCCCUAGCACUCGCCGAGUCCGGUCAAGUUGACCGUUGACCGUUGACCAGAGUUGACCUAUGUUUGACUUCUUAGGGAUAGUCAAACUUAGAAGAUAAAAGUGUUAAUAAGAGAUGUAUGAUGUUAUAGGGAGAUUGUAGCUCGGCGGAUCGAGCACGAGUGACUUCGGGAUUUGUUAGCUUUCGACAUUCACGAGGUGAGUCUUCUCACUAUACCGUACCCGGAAGGGUUUGACUGUGUGACCGGAAGGUCAGAUAUGAUAUGUGAUAUAUGUGUUUUAUGUGAUAAGUUAAUUGUUAUAUGUGCUAUGUAUGAUAUGUUUGAUAUGGGCCGGAAGGCAUUAUGUUAUGGGCCGGAAGGCGAAUAUGUUAUGGGCCGGAAGGCGUUGUGUUGUGGACCGGAAGGUCGGCGUGGGUAGGACCGGAAGGUUUACCCAGCAGGGACGGAAGUCCCCUGAGACACAUGGACCGGAAGGUCAGGGCCUGGAAAGGCGUAUGUGCGUAAGUUGUAUUUUGGGGAACUCACUAAGCAUUUAUGCUUACAGUUGUUAUGUAUGUGUUUCAGGUACUAGCGAGGACCGUGGGAAGGCGCCGGCGUGAUCUGUACACACUGAAAGAUGUUUUGUGAUCUUGGGAUUUAGAUGAUUUGUAUUUUGACAUGACACUUGAAAGGUUUAUGCCUUGUUUUGAAUAAAAAUACUAUAUUUUGAAAUGAAAAAUUUGUUUGAAAAUUUACGGUGUUACAUCUGACCUGCUAUAGCAGGUUAAAUCCUAGAUGUGAACGCUUUCAACAAAUUUGUUACCUAGAUGUGUACAAAAAAAAAUAGUUACCCAAAUACGAACAAAACGAAAAGUAAAAAUUAAAUUACACGAAUGGUCCCUGUAGUUUAGGAGAAUUUGUGUUUUUUUGUCCCUAACUUAUUUUUUUUUAACUUGGAUGGUACCUAUUGUUUACUUUUGUUGCACGUUUGGUCUCUGUCUUUCCUAAAAAUACUAUUGUGCGCUUAUUAAUUUAUUUUUUAAUUAAUUUUCUUAUUUAUGUAUUUAUUUUUUACAUAUUUAAAAUUGUAAUAGACCCCACAUAUUUGUAUCUCUCAUCGGAUGAUCCCUACUGUUUAUUUUUUAAUUAAUUUAUUUUUUUAACUCGGAUAGUCUUUACUGUUUAAUUCUGUUACGAUCUUGGUCUUUGUCUUAUCUAAAAAGACUAUUGUGCCCUUAUUAAUUAAUUUUCUUGUGUAUGUACUUAUGCUUUCUAUAUUUAAGUAAAUUUAAUAGACCCCACAUAUCGGUAUCUCCUCACCAUCCCAUCUCUCUACCUUCUCAACUUCUAUUUAUUUUCCAUCUUUAGUGAUAUUGACGUCUUCGUCAUCCCUUCUUUUUUCGGUCAUUUAACUCCGUCGAAUCAACACCACAACCUACUAAAGAUGAAGAAACAGUAGGUUAUGGUGCUGCUUCGCUAGAGUUGAAGUACCAAAAAAUGAAGGAUGGUGAAGACGUCGAUAUUACUAAAGAUAGAAAAGAAACAGAAGUUGGGGACGAUGAGAGAUGGGAUGGUGACCGGUAAGACUCAAUUUAAAGUUCUCAAAUCUGGUUUCAAGUUUACGGUGAGGAGAUACACAUAUGUGGGGUAUAUUAAUUUUUUUAAAUAUAUAAAAAAUAAAUACAUAAAUAAGAAAAUUAAUUAAAAAAUAAAUAAUAAGGGCAAAAUAGUCUUUCUAGGUAAGACAGGGACCAAAACCAUAACAAAAUAUACAGUACGNUAUAAAAAAUAAAUAUAUAAAUAAGAAAAUUAAUUAAAAAUUAAAUUAAUAAGGGCAUAAUAGUCUUUUUAAGAAAGACAGUGACCAAACGCGCAACAAAAAUAAACAAUAUGGACCAACCAAGUUAAAAAGAAAAAAGUUAGGGACCAAACACACAAAUUCUCCCAAACCACAAGGACCAUUCGUGUAAUUUAAUUUUUACUUUUCGUUUUUUUCAUAUUUGGGUAAUUAUUUUUUUUGUACACAUCUAGGUAACAAACUUGUUGAAAACGUUCACAUCUAGGAUUUAACCUGCUAUAGCAGGUCAUAAUGGUCAUAUGUGAACACUUCCAAUAAGUUUGUUACCUAGAUGUGUAAAAAAAAAAUAAUUACCUAGAUAUGAACAUUCCAAAAAAUUAAUUACUUUAACAAGUCAUAUUUCCAUAAAUAACAUACUACUACAUAACAUACGAAUUGGUUCGUGCAGAUAGAAACCACAACGGAAAUACAACAUGCUAAAAAUUGUUAAAACGCACAGUUCCACCAUGUUAUUUCCUUUGCUUAUAUCUUGGGCCCUUUUGAGUUUUGAAAAAGAAAAAAGAAAAAAAAAUGUCAACAAUAAUUCAAGGGGUUAUCAUGGGAUGAACGAGGAAAGUCCCCAUUUUGGAUUUUUAUAAAUAUGUUCGCGAAAAGUGUUUUGGCCAACGGUAUUCUUCAUGUUAGAUAUCAUAUAUGCAUUAUUUUUUUUCCUUUAUUUUUUUCUUUCUUUUCUUUUUACUAUAUAAUAUAUAACAUUAACUAAUUUUCUCUUAUAAUUAACAAAUACAUGCUUUAAAUUUAAAUAAUAAUCGGUUUAAUUUUGAUGUCAUUUCAUACCACCAUAAGAUGGCCUAGAUGUUUUUUAAAAAACUUAUGUUAGUUUCUUGAAAUGAUGCAUGUUUUUAGUUAGUCCAAAAUAAUUACAAAACUACACUAUUUUUCAUUGAUCAUAUAUUCUUCUUUAAUAUAAAAAAUGUUUUUAUUCUCAAAUAUUUUAUCUUAACUUUUUUAAUUGUAAUUCAUUUUUGGUAGAUGAACUUGCUAUUGGCGAUGCCGGUUUUAAAAACCACUUGUAAAACCAAGACAGGCGACUGUAUUUCUUGGGCCCCACGCUUCUCUGGGUAUAUAUAAAUACACGGAGUCGUCAUAAAUCAAACACAAGUCAAAAUUACACUCUCUCAUACAUUCAUACUCUCACUCUCAUUUUUUCUAUUGGAGGACACGUGUCAAUGGACACCAAAGUAGGCUCUCUGGACGUCGUCGCCAUCCCUAACGGCGACAUCGGCUGUCCGCCACACGGUGGUGUAUCCUCCGUCCAGACAUCCACCGUUCCGAUCAGCUUCUCCGAGGCCACUCUCGGCCGACACCUGGCUCGCAGGCUAGUUCAGAUCGGUGUCUCUGAUGUCUUCUCUGUUCCCGGCGAUUUCAACCUCACUUUGCUUGACCACCUCAUCGCCGAGCCUGGACUCAACCUUGUUGGCUGCUGCAAUGAGCUCAACGCAGGUUAUGCUGCUGACGGAUACGCUAGGUCUCGCGGCGUUGGAGCCUGCGUCGUUACUUUCACUGUCGGCGGACUUAGUGUCAUCAACGCCAUUGCCGGAGCUUACAGUGAGAAUCUACCGGUGAUUUGUAUUGUCGGUGGUCCGAAUUCUAAUGAUUACGGUACUAACAGAAUUCUUCAUCAUACGAUCGGGUUGCCGGAUUUUAGCCAAGAGAUUCGAUGCUUUCAAACCGUUACUUGCUUUCAGGUACCAAUUCAAAGCUAACAUACUUUUCGAAUAUAUGAUUCUGUUGAGUGUUGAUCGUUCAAUUUCGCCGAUCGUGUAUACUUCACAUUCCACUCGAUCAACCACUUCGCGUUACUUUUUAAACUUAGGUUAUUUUCAAUUUGAUCGAAAACCUACAAAUGUCUUUGCUAUGAUUUGUUUUCGUUCAUCCUUUUGUGUGCAUUGGAUUGCUAUAAAUCACUCAGUAAAAUCCUUAGUUACUUAAACAGAUACAACAUCGAUUCAUUGCGAUAUAGAAAUCACAAUGACUUAUCACUCUGGUUAUUACUAUGUUCUAUGAUUCUGAGUUAAUUACUACUUUGAAUAUAGGCCGUGGUUAACAAUUUGGAAGAUGCACACGAACUGAUCGACACAGCUGUUUCAACAGCCUUAAAAGAAAGCAAGCCAGUUUACAUCAGUAUCAGCUGCAAUCUACCUGCAAUUCCUCAUCCUACUUUUACCCGGGACCCUGUUCCCUUUUCUCUCUCUCCCAAGUAAGUUCCACAUCCUUCGAAUCUCUAACUAAUCAUAAUUUCAUUCAAAUCAAUUUUAAAUUCCGAUCUCUUCUACCAAAAUCACAUAGGUUGAGCAAUCACAUGGGUUUAGAAGCAGCCAUUGAAGCAGCAGCAGAGUUUCUAAACAAAGCGGUGAAGCCAGUAAUGGUCGCCGGACCUAAACUCCGUGUAGCAAAAGCCAGCAACGCAUUUGUUGAAUUAGCAGACUCAUGUGGGUAUCCUGUAGCUGUGAUGCCAUCAGCGAAAGGGAUGAUCCCAGAACACCAUCCUCAUUUCAUCGGAACAUAUUGGGGUGCUGUAAGCACUGCUUUUUGUGCAGAAAUUGUUGAAUCUUCUGAUGCUUACUUAUUUGCUGGACCUAUAUUCAACGACUACAGCUCUGUAGGCUAUUCUCUUCUCCUCAAGAAAGACAAAGCCAUAAUCUUGCAACCUGAUCGUGUAAUAAUUGGAAAUGGCCCAACUUUCGGGUGCGUGUUGAUGAAAGAUUUCUUGUUAGGUUUAUCAA